rnacentral:rRNA from 1 species
UGCAGAAAUGUUUACAUAGAAGCGUUCUUAGCGGCGGACGGGUGAGUAACACGUGGGUAACCUGCCUCAAAGUGGGGGAUAGCCUUCCGAAAGGAAGAUUAAUACCGCAUAAGCCUACAGUGCCGCAUGGCACAGCAGGAAAAGGAGCAAUCCGCUUUGAGAUGGACCCGCGGCGCAUUAGCUAGUCGGUGAGGUAACGGCUCACCAAGGCGACGAUGCGUAGCCGACCUGAGAGGGUGAUCGGCCACAUUGGAACUGAGACACGGUCCAGACUCCUACGGGAGGCAGCAGUGGGGAAUAUUGCACAAUGGGCGAAAGCCUGAUGCAGCAACGCCGCGUGAGUGAUGAAGGCCUUCGGGUCGUAAAGCUCUUUGAUCAGGGAUGAUAAUGACAGUACCUGAAAAACAAGCCACGGCUAACUACGUGCCAGCAGCCGCGGUAAUACGUAGGUGGCGAGCGUUGUCCGGAAUUACUGGGCGUAAAGGAUGCGUAGGUGGAUACUUAAGUGGGAUGUGAAAUCCCCGGGCUCAACCCGGGAACUGCAUUCCAAACUGGGUAUCUAGAGUGCAGGAGAGGAAAGCGGAAUUCCUAGUGUAGCGGUGAAAUGCGUAGAUAUUAGGAGGAACACCAGUGGCGAAGGCGGCUUUCUGGACUGUAACUGACACUGAGGCAUGAAAGCGUGGGUAGCAAACAGGAUUAGAUACCCUGGUAGUCCACGCCGUAAACGAUGGGUACUAGGUGUAGGAGGUAUCGACCCCUUCUGUGCCGUCGUUAACACAAUAAGUACCCCGCCUGGGGAGUACGGUCGCAAGACUAAAACUCAAAGGAAUUGACGGGGGCCCGCACAAGCAGCGGAGCAUGUGGUUUAAUUCGAAGCAACGCGAAGAACCUUACCUAGACUUGACAUCUCCUGAAUUACCCUUAACCGGGGAAGCCCUUCGGGGCAGGAAGACAGGUGGUGCAUGGUUGUCGUCAGCUCGUGUC